rnacentral:rRNA from 1 species
UACAUGGGGUGCAAACGUUGCUCGGAAUUACUGGGCGUAAAGGGCUCGUAGGCGGCCAACUAAGUCAGACGUGAAAUCCCUCGGCUUAACCGGGGAACUGCGUCUGAUACUGGAUGGCUCGAGUUUGGGAGAGGGAUGCGGAAUUCCAGGUGUAGCGGUGAAAUGCGUAGAUAUCUGGAGGAACACCGGUGGCGAAGGCGGCAUCCUGGACCAACACUGACGCUGAGGAGCGAAAGCCAGGGGAGCGAACGGG